rnacentral:tRNA from 1 species
GAGAUUUAAUACAUGAACUGCUAAAUCAUCACACCGAACAUAAACACUCGGACUUCUC